rnacentral:tRNA from 1 species
GAAGCUAGAGCUCAGUGGUAGAGUACGUGAUCAGCACGCACGAGGUCCUGGGCUUAAUUCCCAGUACCAGCA